UUUUGCUAAAAUAGCCUUCUCAUUGGCUGCGGCUUUGGAGGUGGCAGAAAUCAUACGUUUAAUCACGGCGCCCUCCUGCUUGCCAAGUGGCUCUGCAGAAACCCAUGAAAGAGGAUCCUGAAAGAGCAAGGGCGGCCUCCAGGUGAAGGUGGUGGGCGGCCUCCAGGUGAAGGCGGCCUCCAGGUGAAGGUGGUCAGCACCCUCCCUUUGGCCAAGAGGAGACUGCAGUUUCAACUCAAAGAUUAUUCCUGAAUGAUGCAGCAAGCUUAAACUUCCUUAAAAACAAACCUCUGGGAAGAGGAAAACGAGGCAAGAUGCUGAGAAAAAGUCAUCUCCCACUCUGCCCUUCUCUGGCAAAUCGAAGUGUCCUCUUGUGGGAGGCGGUGGGCAGCGACACUCCUGUUGGACGUCAGUGCUCUCGGGAUGGGCCCGGCCACCCCGGAGCAGAACUCACUUAGGGCCUGGUGCCCCUGUGCCCAGUUCUCAGAACGUCGGAGUGCUCAGUUCUCAGAACGCCGGAGUGCCCCAUUCAUAACCUGCAGCCCCGUUCAUAGCCUGCAGCUCCCCUCCUUCCUCUCCUCCCGGUCGUCAGGGAGCACCCCCAGCUCCCCUCCCCACUCUCAAACCCUCCUCCUCCCUCCCCUCUCUCAUUUCCCUGUUUGCAGGAUCUCCUCCUGCCCACUCUCCAGCCCAGGUCCUCCCCUCUCAUCUCCAAUUCUGCUUCAUGGGCCAUGACAGCAGGCAGGCCAUGGCCUGCUCUCAGCAGUUUGAUCGAUGGACUAAGGAGAUCACUCCUAUGAGAGUGAAAAAGUCAAAUGUGCCUGAGAUUCGGAUGGGGAGCUCUCAAAGCUACGGAUUGCAAGAGUCAACACCGCCUCAAAAGUACAAGGCCGGCCGGGUGCAGUGGCUCACACCUGUAAUCCCAGCACUUUGGGAGACUGAGGCGGGUGGAUCACCUGAGGUCAGGAGCUCAAGACCAGCCUGACCAACAUGGUGAAAUCCCGUCUCUAUUAAAAAUACAAAAAAGAUUAGCCGGGUGUGGUGGUGCAUGCUUGUAGUCCCAGCUACUCGGGAGGCUGAGGCAGGGGGAGCACUUGAACCCGGGAGGUGGAGGUUGCAGUGAGCCGAGAUUGCACCAUUGCACUCCAGCCUGGGCAACAGAGUGAGACCCUGCCUCAAAAAAAUAAAAAAAUAAAAGUACGAGGCCCGGUUUAAAUGCAGGAGGAAUCUGGUGAGCGAGUUUCACUCUGAUGCAACAGAAAAGCCAAGCCAAGCCUUGGCUGUGCCUGGUCUUGGCCGGGGAGCCACAGGCAGGGUCUGCUGGUUUCGGUGUCAGGGGCACAUCCCCAGGACCACGUCUGAGAUGGGAAGUGCCUUGAUGGAAAACUGAUACCUUUUUCUUUCCGAGUAACUUUAGAACAUGUCGCUUCAAAUAUAACUAAUAUCCUGAUUUCAGUGGACUUGCAUGGAAGGAAACGCAAGUUCAUUUGCCAGUGGGGGGUGAGGACUGGGAGAGUGGGGAGCAGGGUGGGGAAGAGGGGAGCAUUCCACAAGCCGCAAGAGCCUGGACACCUCCAGCCUUCAAUAAAUAGCAUUUGAAUUUGCUGUGCCUAAUUCAACCUUGCAUUUGCGUAGUGAAAGUCAGGCCCGCGGUGUGUAUAGUUUGGCACAUGAGUUCAGCUCGGGUCCCCUUGAUCUGCUUCUGUGUUCUCACUCUCUCCCUGCCCGGCACGCCCCUCUUUUUCUAUCCAGAUGAGCGAAGGGGUGAAUUAGUCCAGAAAUGUUUCUGCUCCAGUCAAACAAACAUUAUCACCUGUCAGUCAAACAUUAUCACCUGUCAGUCACCAGAGACGUGCACGGGUGCCUUCUCCUUUGCCUCGAGGUUUCUAUGACCUGGGAAAAGCCCAUCCCAUUCCCGGAUGAGGCUUCCCUGCCACGGGUCACAGACACACGAGCUACGCCCCACCUUGCCAAAACUUUCAAGGUGGGAUGGAAGAAUCUGUCGUUUCUGCAUUUACGAUCCCGUACGUGUUCCGUGCUGCAUCUGUUCUGGUUGGGUUGUCUCUCCUCUCAAGGCCUCUUUUGACCCAAACUUACUGCAAAGCAGAUGAGUGAGCCAGAAGCUGCGCUGGGCGUUGGGGGUUGUGGCA
rnacentral:lncRNA from 1 species